AAACCCUAGAAAUAACUUCUACAUGAUACUACAACCAUUAGGGUUCUCAUCACUGAAGUAGUUGGCAUAAGGAUCAGAUGCAGGUCCUGACGGCAUUGGCUGUUGGGGCAUGUAGCUCAUCGGCGGCGGCUGCUGGCGGGCGUACAUCAUCUGAUGGUACAUAUCAUUUCCACCGUUGGCUGCUGCUCUCUGUUGAUUCAUCAUCAUGGCCAAGUAUUGUUGCUGCUGCUGAUUAUACGGGUUUCCGGGACCCAUACCGCCUUGAUAGUAUCCUCCUCCGCCGUUCAUCAUUGCCUGUGCAGGCAGUCCUUGUACUGCAGGAAAAUUACCCAUCUGCCCCAUUGGAUAGCUACCCAUUUGACCCAUCUGACCCAUCUGACCCAUUUGAGGUCUCUGCCCCAUCUGACCCAUAUUUCCCAUAUGACCCAUUUGACCCAUUUG
rnacentral:lncRNA from 1 species